rnacentral:lncRNA from 1 species
UUUAUUUUAGAGGUUUAUAAAAUUCUGAAAUGCGAGGACAAAGGCUGGAAGCAUGUGGCUAGAAAGGCAGUCCCCUUAGAGGGCAAUAAAGAACUGUGAGUAGUGUUAGAUAAUUCGCCUCAUCCGCCUGCAUGCAUGCAUUCACGGCUAAAUGUUAUCAUGCAUUAUUUUAUUGAAGUGCCAUAUUAUGAUGCACUAUUUGUUGAUAGUAAAAAUUGUUUGAUUAAUUGUGCUAUGAAUAUACUGUGCCUUGUUUGUGUGGAAUUGGGAUGAAGUGGAUCACCAUGGGUUUGUGAGGACGGUCCGUGAUAUGGAUCCUGAAUAUGAUAUGAUAUUGACCGUUGGCCGGGAAAAUGAGAGAUCGGCGCCCCCAUGUGCACCUGAUGAUAUGGGUUAUAUAGAACCACAGGAUGGCCUCUUGUUGUUGCGCACCUGAUAAUCUAGAUUNNNN